rnacentral:lncRNA from 1 species
UAAUACCCGGGUAUUACCUUCAGGAAGCCCGAACACCCCAAAUAUUUUUUUUUCAUUUAUCUUUUUUUUUGUCUAAUUAACUCCAAAAGGUCUGAAACAUGUUCCUUAAAAAAUAUUGGACAGUGAUUUUAACCCUUACGCCAAAAACCUUAAACCUUAACCUAGCCCCAUAACCUAAUACCCGGGUAUUACCUUCAGGAAGCCCGAACACCCCAAAUAUAUAUUUUUUCUUUUUCUUUUUUUUUUUUGGUCAAACUAGCUCCAAAAGGUCUGAAACAUGUUCCUACAAAGGUUUUGGACAGUGAUUUUAACCCUAACGCCAAAAACCUUAAACCUUACCCUAGCCCCA